rnacentral:lncRNA from 1 species
CUUCUGAACAAUUCUGUAUCAUAUACUAUGAAUAUUACGGGUCUGCCAGGUAUAAUUUCCAAAAUUGAAAUUUACCCGAGGGGUGGCCUAAAACUCUUUAGUCUUCACUUUGACACAGGUUUUACUGCUGUAAAGUCAAAGCAUUCAAAUUCAGUUAAGUAGUGGCACACAGUUAGCAUAACUAAUGCUCAUGGAACCUGUACCAGCACAAGUAACAGCCAAAUUCUCCAUUCAGAUACGACAUAUUUCCCCCAAAAACAUCACGGAGAACAUACUCCUGCGAUCCGUACUUCUAAAACAAUUACUGAUCGCAAAAAAGAUUUAACAACUGUGUAUGAUUACAAGGCUCUUAUAAAUCAACGGUCCACAGAUAAUGCUACAUGAUCGGUUCAAGUUCAACACCAUAUUUUGUUGGGUUACAGUCAAAAUUUGAAAAAAAUCUGGUCUUCUGUCGAACCUCGGGCAAUAGUUAUACUAUUGACCGGCAAGACAUUCCAAUAUAUGUAUACUACAGUCCGCUGACUUAUAUAAAAUGUCAUGUAAUAGUCAUUUAUGUAGACUAAUUUGAACCUAUGACUUUCAGAUGGCGUCACCGGUUAUAACCAGUAUCGAGUCAACGACAGAUCGAGUUAGGAAAGGACUAGCAACGCGUACCAAUUCUGACUGAAUGGUGCAAAUACCAGUAACCACAUGUAUUUAUAACGGCGGAGCCUGAUCCAACUGCAGCCAGUACUGAACUAUGCCUUCAAAAUUAGAUUGAUAGAUAAAAGGUCUAGUGAAGAUAAAAUACUCGCACGUGCCGAGGAGAGCAUUUUCAGGGAUGUUAGCAGAAUGAAACAGAACUCCUAUAAAAAGGUUCAAUUCCCUUCCAGAACUGUACGUUGCAAAGCAGACAGUCUUUUCUGACAGAGAUUUAUCACUUUGGAUACAUAUAGAAAUAUAAAUGUUUGGAACUUGUAAAUUUAGUACGUGUAUUAUA